rnacentral:rRNA from 1 species
GACGAACGCUGGCGGCGUGCUUAACACAUGCAAGUCGAACGCUGAAGCACCAGCUUGCUGGUGUGGAUGAGUGGCGAACGGGUGAGUAAUACGUGAGUAACCUGCCCUUGACUCUGGGAUAAGCCCGGGAAACUGGGUCUAAUACUGGAUGCUACAUGUCACCGCAUGGUGGUGUGUGGAAAGGGUUUACUGGUCUUGGAUGGGCUCACGGCCUAUCAGCUUGUUGGUGAGGUAAUGGCUCACCAAGGCGACGACGGGUAGCCGGCCUGAGAGGGUGACCGGCCACACUGGGACUGAGACACGGCCCAGACUCCUACGGGAGGCAGCAGUGGGGAAUAUUGCACAAUGGGCGAAAGCCUGAUGCAGCGACGCCGCGUGAGGGAUGACGGCCUUCGGGUUGUAAACCUCUUUCAGCAGGGAAGAAGCCACAAGUGACGGUACCUGCAGAAGAAGCGCCGGCUAACUACGUGCCAGCAGCCGCCGCAG